CCUACGGGAGGCUGAGUAGGGAAUCUUCCACAAUGGACGAAAGUCUGAUGGAGCAACGCCGCGUGAGCGAUGAAGGCCUUCGGGUCGUAAAGCUCUGUUGUUAGGGAAGAACAAGUACCGGAGUAACUGCCGGUACCUUGACGGUACCUAACCAGAAAGCCACGGCUAACUACGUGCCAGCAGCCGCGGUAAUACGUAGGUGGCAAGCGUUGUCCGGAAUUAUUGGGCGUGAAGCGCGCGCAGGCGGUCCUUUAAGUCUGAUGUGAAAGCCCACGGCUCAACCGUGGAGGGUCAUUGGAAACUGGGGGACUUGAGUGCAGAAGAGGAAAGCGGAAUUCCACGUGUAGCGGUGAAAUGCGUAGAGAUGUGGAGGAACACCAGUGGCGAAGGCGGCUUUCUGGUCUGUAACUGACGCUGAGGCGCGAAAGCGUGGGGAGCAAACAGGAUUAGAUACCCUGGUAGUCCACGCCGUAAACGAUGAGUGCUAAGUGUUAGGGGGUUUCCGCCCCUUAGUGCUGCAGCUAACGCAUUAAGCACUCCGCCUGGGGAGUACGGCCGCAAGGCUGAAACUCAAAGGAAUUGACGG
rnacentral:rRNA from 1 species